AAUCAACGCUGGCGGCGUGCCUCAGACAUGCAAGUCGAACGAUUAAAGCUCUCUUCGGAGAGUGUAUAGAGUGGCGCACGGGUGAGUAACACGUAAGUAAUCUACCUUUGAGUGGGGAAUAACAUCGGGAAACCGAUGCUAAUACCGCAUAAUGCAGCGGCAUCGCAAGAUGACAGUUGUUAAAGAUUUAUCGCUUGAAGAGGAGCUUGCGGCAGAUUAGCUAGUUGGUAAGGUAAUGGCUUACCAAGGCUACGAUCUGUAACCGGUCUAAGAGGACGGUCGGUCACACUGACACUGAAUAACGGGUCAGACUCCUACGGGAGGCAGCAGUCGGGAAUUUUGGGCAAUGGGCGAAAGCCUGACCCAGCAACGCCGCGUGAAGGAUGAAGUAUUUCGGUAUGUAAACUUCGAAGAAUGGGAAGAUAAAUGACGUACCAUUUAUAAGGUCCGGCUAACUACGUGCCAGCCGCCGCCGUAAUACCUGGGACUGCCAAGGCAC
rnacentral:rRNA from 1 species